rnacentral:lncRNA from 1 species
UCCAGAUUUUCAGUUCGUCAUACAUAAGCAGUUUAAUCCUUGGUCCCUUGACGGUACCUCAUCACUUACUUUGCAGCUCUCCAAUGGUCACACCUGGAUUACUUGAUAUCUUCCUACAUCCCAAUAGCAAAGCAAUGGAAGGUCUUGUACAGACCGGAGCAUACAUUAGGCUUCACAAGCAGAAGAAUAGGGAUAUUUUUCAUUUUGUUCCCUUUCAAGAUUCAUCUUCGGGCACUGGUCAAAUCGAAAUUGUAACCCUUUCACAAUGAGAGCUAUAACUUGGUGAACAAUUUUUCAUCCGAAAUCUCUCUAAAAUCUUGGUUAAUAUAGGUCUCUUGAAACAGACCCAAGAUGCCUGAAAUUGGCUCUAUAGAUCCUUAAUGCCAAUGACAUAAAGAUGGCCUUGGCAUUAUUGAUAUCCUGCAUCGUCACAAUUUUUAGAGAGAAAUUGUGUUUACCUCGUGUAGCAAAACCCUUGUCAUUGGCUUUGCAAAGCAGAUGUCAUCCACAUAUAAAAAAAGAAAACAUAUCUUACUCCCACCAACCUUUUGGUAUAUACAUUGAUUCAUGAUAUUUUCUACAAAUCCGAAUGAAGGAAAGAAAUUAGAAGAAAUUACCAUUAGGAAAUUAAACAUCACACUGAUGGAUACUUGUUUUUUAAACGUUAAUAUGGAUUUCUUUAGUUUGCAGGACCAAAAUUGCUUACACACUAGAGGGGAAUCCUCAGUUUGUUUCAUAUAAACCUCUUCCUCUAGAUCUCCAUUGAGGAAACGCAGUGUAGUUUUCAAUCCAUUGUUGCACUCCAAGUCAAAAUGGCUACGAAUGCCAAUAUUAAUUGCGUAAGGAAUCUUCUUAGAUACAGGAUGAGAAGGUCUUCGUGUAGUCGAUUCCUUCCCUUUGAGUGAAUACCUUUAAAAAACGAUCUUUACCUUGUAUCUCUCAAUGUUGCCCAAUGAGUUUUUUUGUUUAAAGACCAUUUACAUCCAAUGGGCUUGUGUACCGAUUAGGCAAUCAACAAGAUCCCGACUCAUUACUUUUCUUAGAAUUCAUUUCUUUCUUCAUGGCAUUGUACAUAAUUCAGAUUCUUUGCAACUCAUUGGCUGCAAGGACUCCAGGAUCAUUUUCGGCUCCAUAUUGUAGUUUCAGAUUCUUGUAGAUACACAAAAUAAUCACUAGGAAUUGUUGAUUUCUUUGGUCUUAAGUAGAUAUUAUUAAUGUUGUACCAUAUCUUCUUGAGAAUUGGGUCAACUGGCUGAUCAAAAGUUUUUGGCAACUAUUGAACUACCUGACUAUGGAAUAUUGUUUAGCAACUUGUGGAAUUUCAAUGAUUGGAGGUCAAAACCAGUGUCUACUUGAGGGGUGCUAUGAAGAAUAAUAAUCAAUCUAUCACUUGAAGUAGAAGGUUGAUAUUCUAAAGAUCCUUGUAGAAGAAAAUUAUGUUUCUGGUUUGAUUCACUCCUGCUAAUCAAGUCAUUUUCAAGAAAAUUUCAUUUCUUGAUUCCACAAUCCAAUAUUGUGAGAUGGACAGUAAAAAACAUAGCCCUUAGACCUUUCAGCAUAUCCAUGAAAUACCACUCAUGGUCCUUGGUUCAACUUCUUUUUUGUGAUAUUAAAUUCUUACUUCAGACGAGGCAUCCCAAAUGCGCACAUGUUCGCCAAAAUCGGUUUCCAACCUUUCCAUAACCGAAUGGUGUUUAGGAACAACUUUGGUUGGGAACUCGAUUUAAUUAUAUGUUGCUAUGCUUAAGUGGCUUCAGUCCAUAGGAUUUAGGAAGAUGGAGUGCUGCAUACUCCGCACCAUGUCCAAUAAUGUUCGAUUUUUCUUUCUGCCACCACCAUUUUGUCUGGUGAACCAGGCAUGGUGUAUUGCCAACAAUUUCCCAUUCUCUUGAAGAACUUUGCAAACGGACCUGUUCCUUGUCACAUCUUGGUAUCUACAUAAUAUCUCCACCUCUAUCUGAUCUCAUGAUUUAAUAUGCUUUUCACAUUGUUUCUUACUUCCAAGCCUUGAAGGAUCUAAAGCAUCCAUGCUUCGUUCUGUUUAAAGCAAGUAGAGAUAACAUGUAAUAGUAAUAAUCAUCUACAAAUAAAGAAGAUGAGUAUUUCUUGACCAUGUGCAUCCAGUCCUGGACUACAUAUAUAUCAGUAUUAGGAUCUCUAAUAUUUCUGAACCUCCUAUUGUCACCUUUCCUUGACCUUGUUGGUUUGCUUCCCUUAAUGGCAAUCCACACAGUUUUAAAUCAGUAAAUCAAGAGUACUAAGUACCCACCGCCAUCAUUUACUAAUAUCUUAUUUAUUUCUUUAGAGAUAUGUCCCAAUCUCUGGUGCCCAUAAUAUAGAGGAAUUCUCAUUACACACAUCUUUUUUGUGUCCAGUAUGAACAUUCUAUCAUUAUAUUGGAAAUAUCAUUUUGGUAAUUUAAUAGAGAAAAGACCCAUCAGACAAUGUACCAUUCCCAACAAGAUCAGAUUUAUAAAUAAAUUGAAAGAUGUCUUCCUGAAAAGUUAAAGGAAUAUCCCAAAUGUACAAGUCUUGAAACCGAAAUAAUUCUAGAAAACCUUGAAUAUAAAAUGUCUUUUCCCAAAUGUAAAAUAAAACUACUACUUAGAACUAAUUAUAAUGUUCCUACAGCCUCCACAUGUGAACACAUCUUUGUUUUUCUGAAUAGAUAUCUUGCUCACUUCCCACUUGCGUUCCUUAGGUUUCGCAUACCCUGCCAAGGUAUUCGAAAUAUGUGAUUGGUAGAACUAGAAUCAAUCCCCCAUUGUGUUAUAAAUAACAUCAUCAUAUAGGAUUUUUUCAUCACAAACAAACGAGGUGAGAUACCUUUCAUAUUCAAGCCAUUUCGAAAUUUUCACACCUUCUUUACUUGUCCCCUUCUUUUUUACAAAAAAACACGUGGAUUUCUUCUUAAUAUUGUGAGACCCUAAAUCCUAUUUCAUAAUUAUUUUCAUUCCAAUGCAUAAUUUAUAGUAAUGUUUGGUUAAUUCAAUUUAGUUUAUUGACGUGCAGCAUGUUCGUAUUAUGUGGGCGGGUAUGUGCGGGGGGUAAAAUGUUAUUAAAUUAAAGUUAUGGGGUACAAAGCGUGAAUACUUAACUUAGUUGGGGUUAAAUUGAAAAUUUAAACACUUGUGAGAUAAAUCAAAGAAGACAUCGAAAUUAGAAUGGAAAAGGUGUAAUUUAAUUAAAAACAUGAUGGUGGUUGUCGGCCAUUGUAUCUAUAUUUGCUUGUAAAGAAAAAAAAGAAAGAAAGAGGAAGGGAAAGGAGAGAAGACCGAGAGAAGGAAAAAAGAGAGAAGGAAGGAAACUCAGAGAAAAGAGAGAAAAACAAGAGAAGAUAAGAACGCAGAGAAAUACAAAUAACGGCUUUGAAGAACAUUGUGUUUAACCAAUUGUAAGUGAAUGUUAUGCACUAUUUUAACUUAUUAGUUUUAAUUGUUUAAAUUAUGAAAAUCUUUUAGCAUGUGCCAAGUUAUGAUGUGUUAAAGGUACUCUUAAGAAAUUGGGUUUUAGAAAGAGAGAUAAGAUGAUAUUGGUAAUUCCUUAAAAACACAAUAAUAUAUAUUAUGAUGAAUAAUAAUUCCUAACCCGAAUGAAUUGAUUUUGCACUAAAAAUUAAGUGUUUGUACGUAUUGAUGUUAAGGAUCUAUGAAAUAGUCUCUUGAAAAAAGAAAAAAAAUUUGAAAACAAAAGAGGGGAGCCGAAGCUUUCCGUUGUUCAUAAAGGCUUCCAGACUGGGAAUUAUCCAUGUGUGGGCCCCCACCCCCCCCCACCCCCGAGCCGAUGAGACUAUCGUGUUCUUUAGUUAAAGGUUGGUCAAUCGGAUGAGUUUUUGGUCGUAGAAUAGGUCGUUUUCUAUGUUUUUCAAGCAUCUGAAUCAAAUGUUAGUGUCUGUUUCACCUAAUUCGAAAAGUUACAACAAUUGCUUUGGACAUAAGUAAGUGAUCGUUAGAGAUUUUAAGCGAUAAAUGUCAACAUCAACGGUGAAAAACUUGUCCCAUUUGCCUUAAAAAUUAAUGGAGUGUACCACUUGAUUUAUGAUCACCAUUGUAUCAAAUUAUAUAUUUAUAGAUUUUGAGUUGUAGUACAAAUCGUAAUUGGCGUCUAAUAAAGUAUGAUAACGGAGCUAAUGAAGGAGAAGGGCCUUCAAGGCAACUUAGGGUGUGACUUGACUUACGGUGACAGGUGGGAAAUAAUAUUAAAGAUCAUCUUAUUCAUGAAUUGAAUUGCUUGUCUUUUAUACGAUUGAUGAGAUUUGGUGAAUUUUAUACGACUGGUGAUAAGGAUUAUUAUCUGUGGAUUAUAUCUGUGAGGUGAUGUGGCAAAUGCAUAUAAUUAUCUUUGUGUGCUUUAUUGCACUGGUGAAAGUAACCACGGUGGGUUAACUAGGCUUAGUCACGGUGGAGCUAGCCAGGGGUUGCCACGGUGGGCAUUCCUUUGAUAAGACCAACAAAUAUGUGGGCCCACGUUUAUCUAAAUUUGCGCGCACAUGUGGGUGAAUACAUUAUCAUUGACAUUCUUAUUGGCUAUUUUUUCAUGGUGUAGGGCGUUAUCUGUAUCAUUCUUUUAAUGAAUUUGAUUAUCUAAUUGUUAGCAUGUGGAUUAUUAGCUCACACCCACACAGAAUCUUUUUGAAGGUGAAGUGAUACAGUAAGUUGUCUGGUUUAUACUUACGUGUGUUGUACUCCUAACGUGGUGAUCAUCCUGGUCGAGGUUGGAGUCCCCCCCUUUUUUUAGAAAAAAAAAAAGAACUCGAGUAGUUCUCACUUUGUAGAUUUUUGAGUUAACCUUGAGGGGUUGAUUUGGGUAUAUGUCUUGUGUUUACAAGAGAGAUUUUUAAUGUAUGUGUAUUCUCUAUGGUUUGAGGUUUGAUUUUAAUUAUCAGUGUAAUAUGACCCUGGCUGGGUAAUUUAUUCCUUGUUUGGGCUUGAAUAUUUGUGGUAAUACAUGUGUCGUUCGCAGGCAAUGGUGGCCUGUCGAUCACUCCUGCUAAAUACAUUAAUUAUGUUGUUUAGGUUUGGGGGUGUGACAGUUUGAUACCAUUUGGUAUCAAGCAGUGGUUUAAAAGCCAAAGGAUAUCACUUAGGCUAGGUCCGUGGGGUUUGUUUCUAGGAUCACAGUGAACCAGGGUGUUGUCAGUAUUGUCGAGUGGGUUUGUUAUAUUUAUGUUGUAUUAUAUGUUGCAAUGUGCUAAUUUACUUGAUGCAAAAGAAGAUAUGGCGGAUGAGGAAUCAUCAGUUUCCGCUAGAGGGGUGGUACAAGAGGAGCCCUGAACCACGAAGCAGCAAUCAGCCUGACGCAAACAGGAGAUUAAACAACUCCUGUCCUUGAUGACAUAACAGGUACAUGGAGUUUCAAAUGCAAGGCCAUACGGGGUACCACCCACAUGAGCAUUGUAAUGGAAUUGAAUUCCGCCUGAUUUUGGGGGCAACUGGAUCCUUUAGUGGCUGAAUAAUGGGUGUGAAGAAAUUAUAUACCAGUUUUGAAGUGAUGGAAGUGACCAGCUACAAAAUUGACUUUUAGGCCACAUUUAUGUUGAGGGGAGAGGCAAGAAAUUGGGGGAAUCGAUGAGGAAAUGCAACCUGAGGAGUGCCAUUUUUCAUGGGCAACGAUUUGUGGAAAACUUCAAUGAUCAGUACCUUUCCCGUCGCAUCUGCCGCAUGCAAAAAGAAGAAGAGUUUAUUCAUUGAAAAAAGGACGUGUCUAUAGUGGAUUUAAGAAAAAUUUAUUGCUUUGUCUCGAUUUGCGCCUGAAAUGGUGCGUACUGAGAACUAAGUGCAGACGAUUUGAGCCUGGCCUAGAUACUGGCAAAGAUCGGAGUCGUGUAGCGCUGUUUUUAGCUUAAUAAUAUUCAGAGUUUAGUGACAAAUCAAAAAUUGCAGAACAGAGUUGAUGGAAUUUCAAAAUAGACCAAGAGAAGAAUUCAAAGUAAAAAAGGAUAUUUGAUUCGGGGCCCGGACCGUCAAGACAAAGUCCCUACAGAUGUAACAGGCGACAGUAGUGCAGAGCAGAGACCCAGACUGAUGCGAGGAGUGUAGGACUGGUAGUUCUGGAGGUGGAGGAAAUUCUAUCAGGGGAAGAGGAUCGUGGAAACCACCAGCUAGACCUAAUACUGCACAAUCUGGUACUACAGGAGAAUCAUUUGUUAUCGGUGGCGGUGUUGAGGCAUAUGGUCCGGAUUGUCUCAAUGCCUUGGUAGAUAAUGUUAUCAGUGUGGGAACCUGGACACAUCGCAAGACAUUGUACUCACGAGGCCUGUUUGCAGUUUCAUCAUUAGGCAUUGCAGUUGAGAGAGGUAAGAGAGCAAUAGAAGUGCACAAUACAAGGGCAGGCAACUACUCCAUAACCGCGUACUCAAGCUCGUAGUUUAAUGCCUGACACAGAAGCAUGUCAAAGCCACUUCCUAAUGCAGUACAGGUACACUUUUAGUAAUAAUUAGAAAGCUUACGUUUGAUAGAUCCAGGUGCUACACUUCAUUGUGUCCUACUAUAAUUCGGGCAUGCCCUCUAGAUAAGAUCAUGUAGUUCCUUUUCCAACCUUUACUUGUGUCCCUACCCAGUGGAGAUGUGGGGGAGUGGAGGAGUAUAUAAGGAAGUGUGUUUUUGAAAAUUGGGUGAGAAUGAGUUAUUAGUUGAAUUUGAUGCCACUGAGUAUUCAUGACUUUGAUCUAAUUUUGGGAAUGAAUUGGUUUAGCUUUCUUACAUGCUUCUAUGACUGUUUUAAGAGGAGGUUGUGUUUAAAUAAUCCAAAUGAAUUGGAAUUUACAUUUCAAGGUGAAAGGGAUGUAACUCCCACUUGUUUGCUUCGGCUGUGAAAGCAAGAAAGUGUUUUUGCAGAAAGGCUGUGAGGGAUAUUUGGCUCACAUUAUGAUACAGCUAUAGUAGAAAAGAAGUUAUCUGAUUGUCUGUUGUUAGAGAUUUUUUCCCAGAUGUGUUUCCAGAUUGACCUUCAGGAGUAAUACCCAGAACGGGAAGUGGAGUUUCUAUUGAGUUAUUGCCUGGGAACUGCACUUUUCUCUCCUCCGUAUAGAAAUGGCACCAUCUAAUUGCGCGAAUUGAAAGUGCAAUGUCAUGAUUUGCUUGAGAAAGGGGUUUAUUUCAGCCGAGUGUAUCACCUGGGGUGCGCCAGUUCUGUUUGUGAAGAAGAGGAUGGGUAACGAUCGACUAUGUAUAGAUUAUAGACAGUGAAUCAGAUCACAGUACAGAACAAGUAUCCUUUACCUCGGAUGUGAUUUGCUUUUAUCGUUACAGGGUGCUUGUGUCUUUUCCAAGAUUGAUUUGAGAUCUGGGUUCAUCAUUGAAAGUAAAGGCAGUGAUGUAUCGAAGACUGCAUUCCGUACUCGAUAUGACACUAUUGAGUUUUUGGUAAUGCCUUUUGGAGUAACGAAUGCACCAGCUAUUUUCAUGGAUUUGAUGCACAGGGUAUUCAUCUUUUUCCCCCCCUUUAUUCAAUUUGUCAUUGUGUUUAUUGACGACAUAUUGGUUUUUUUUCUCGGAUUCAGGAAGAACAUGAAAGCAUUUUGAGAAUUGUUUACAGACUUUACGUGAAAACAUUGUAUGCUAAGUCAGCAAAUGUGAAUUUGCUGGAUGGGGUUUGCAUUCUUGGGUCUGUUAUAUCUGCAGAAGGAACUAACAUGUGGGAUCCAAAAAGAUAGAGGCAGUAAUGAAUUGGGAGGCGCGCCGAAGAAAUGUGUCAGAAACAGAAGUUUUCUGGUUUUUGGCGGUUAUUAUCGAAAGUUUAUACAAUGGGUUUUUUCUUCUAGUGGCUGUUCAGUUGACGCGGUUGACUCGCAAGGAUGUCAAAUUGAGUGGACAGAUGAUUUGUGACGAGUUUUCACAGAAUUGAAAACUAGUUGACUACGGCACCAGUGUUGACGAUUCUUCUGAAAGGGAGACUUUGUGGUAUAUGUGAUGCUUCACAUCAGGGAUUAGGAUGUGUAUUGAUGCAGCAAAGACAGGUAGUUGCGUAUGCGUCAAGACCAGUUGAAGCCACAUGAAAUGAAUUAAUCCUAAUACAUGAUUAGGUUGGCUUUGUGGUGUUUGCUUUGAAGAUAUGGAGGCAUUUUUUGUAUGGAGAGUCUUUUGAAGUGUUACAGAUCAUCAAAGCUUAAAGUAUUUGUUUACAACAACGAGAUUUGAAUGCUAGCAGAGGAAUGGAAUGGAGCUGGAUUAAAGACUAUGAAUUGUGAUUCAUUCAUCCAGUAGAGCCAAUGUGGUGCUGCCUGCUUUGAGUAGGAGUCUGCAGGACGGCUAGCUUGUAUCAAAUGUUGUCGGGCAAGUUAUGUGCAGAGACUGAAUUACUUGAGAGUGGAGUUUGAGCAAAAGAAGAUGGGUGUUAUGGUAGCACACUUGCAAGUGAGACCUUUAUUGCUUGAUCGUAUUCCGCGAAUUGCAAAUGCAAGAUGAUCAAUUGAGGAAGAUUAGAACACAAGUGGUGGGACAAAGUUAAUAUUUAGUUCUCUAUACUUGAUGAUGGACCCUUGAUGUUUGGAAAUAGGUUUUUUGUAUUCCCAAUGCGUUAGAGUUGAAGAUAUAUUUCUAGGGGAAGCACCCCAAUCAUUUGUAUGCCAUGCAUCCAGGGAGCACAAGAUGUAUAGAGAGCUGCCGAGAAGUGGUAUGGGUGGCCAGGUAUGAAGACAGAAUAUUAGUCAUGAGUUUGUGGCAAGAUAUGUCUAACUUGUCAACAUGUGAAAGCUGAACAUCAAAGAAACCUGUGUUUGUUGCAACUCUUCCUAUUCCACAGUGGAAAGGGAGCAUAUUGGCUAUGGAUUUUUGUGGUGGGACUGUUCCAAAAAGCUGCUACGGGUUUUUGAUUCUAUUUGGGUGAUUGUUGAUAGAUUGGACCAAAUCAGCUCAUUUCCGCAUUAAGAUCACUUACUCCUUUACAGAUUGCAAAGGCCUUAUGUGGAUUAGAUUGUGAGAUUGCAUUGAGCACUAGUUUCUAUUGUCAGACCGAGAUCCCAAUAUUUACUUCCAGAUUUUGGGCCAAGUCUUCAACAAGCUAUGGGCACAUCAUUGAAUUCAGUACGGCAUUCAUCCUCAGACAGAUGGGUCAAUCUGAGAGGACAUUCAAGAUUUGGAGGAUAUUUUUUUUUUGAGGGCCCCCUUGUAUGCUGGACUUCAAAGGGUAGUUGGAAUGAUUUCAUUGCCUUGAUGUGAGUUUGCGUAUAACAUAGUUAUCAGACUAGUAUUGGUAUGGAACCAUUUUGAAGUCCUUAUAUGCAGAAAUGUCUAACUCCAGUGUGUUGACUGAAGUGGGUGAAAGACAGUUGUUGGGUCCAGAGAUGAUUCAGGAUACAACAGAAAAAUCAAAACAGUUCAUGAGCAGGUUGAAGUGUUGCACAGAGUAGACAAAGAGUUUGCUGAUACUCGCCGCCUGGAGCUUGAAUUCGAGGUGUGAGAUCAAGUUGUCUUGAAAAGUUUCUUCUCCCAUGGAAAGGUUGUAUUGAGAUUUGGGAGGAGGGUAAAUUGAAUCCAAGGUACAUUGGUCGCAUAUACCAUAAUUGAGAGAGUGUUACAACAGCUUAUCGAUGACUUACCCCCGGCCAGAAAUGUCGAAGCUACACAAUGUGUUUUCAAUGUAUCUAUGUUGAGGAAGUUAUAGCAUCCGUCACAUGGGUUUGAUACAGCAGAAACCGAUUGAGUGGAGGAUGAGACUUGAGUUAUGUAAGAGGAACCCGGUUCAAAUCUUAGAAGAAGGGAGCAAGUUCUUCGGACAAAGUAAUCCAUUGGUGAAAUUUUCUAUGGAGGAGCCAAACAGUAAGAUGAGGCUACAUGUGAGAGUGAGGAGUCUAUGUGGAUUGCCAGUAUCCAUACUUAUUCCAGGUGAGCAUUUCGGGACGAAAUUCUUUAGGCGGGAGAGUUGUGAGACGCCUAAAAUCCUAAUUUUCCUAAUUAUUUUUUUUCAUUCCAUGCAUAAUAUAUAGUAAUUUUGUUAAUUAAUUUAGUUUUUAUUGACGUGCAAGCAUGUGCGGUUAUUAUGUGGGCGUGUAAUGUGCGGGGAUAAAAUGUUAUAAUUAAAGUUAUGGGUACAAAGCGUAAUACUUAACUUAGUUGGGGUUAAAUUGAAGAUUUAAACACUUGUGAGAUAAAUCAAAGAAGAACAUCGAAAUUAGAGGGAAAAGGUGUAAUUAAUUUAAAAAAUUGAUGGUGGUUGUCGGCCCAUUGUAUCUAUAGUGCUUGUAAAGAAACAAAAAAAAAGGAACAGAAAGAGGAAAGGGAAAGGAGAGAAGACCGAGAGAAGGAAAAAAGAGAGAAGGCAAGGAAACUCAGAGAAAAAGAGAAAAAAACAAAGAAGAGGGAGAGACGCAUAAAGAAAAUACAUCUUUGAAGUCAUUGUGUUUAAACCAAUUGUAAGUGAAUGUAUCACUACUUUUAACUUAUUAGUUGUAAUUGUUUAAUUAUGAAAAAUCUGUUAGCAUGCAAGUUAUGAUGUUGUAAGGGUACUCGUAAUAAAUUGGGUUAGGAAAGAGAGAGAAGAUGAUAUAUGGUAAUUCCUUAAAACAAAAUAUCAUAUAUAAAUUAUGAAUAGAAUCCUACCGAAAUUGAUUGAUUUUGAAGAAAAAUAAGUUGUUUGUACGUAUUGAUGUCAGGAUCUAUGAAAAUAGUCUCUGGAAAAAAAGAAAAAAAAAAUUUGAAAACAACAGAGAGGGGAGCCGAAGCUCCUGUGUGCUUCCAGCUGCAGACGGAAAUUAUCCAUGUGGGCGCGCCGAUGAGACCUAUCGUUGUGUCUUUAUUUAAAGUUGGUCAUCGAUGAGUUUUUGUGUCGUAAUAAAUAUCCUUUUCUAAUGUUUUUCAGCAUUUCUGAAUAAAUGGUAGGUCUGUUUAACCUAAUUCGAAGUUACAAUGAUUUGGGACAGCAGUAGUGAUCGGUAGAGAUUUUAAGCGUAUAUGGCAAACAAUCACGGUGAAACUUGGUCCACUGCCUUAAAAAUUUAAUGGAGUUGUGCCGACUAUGAUUUAAUGAUCAUCCAUUGGAUCAAAUUAAUAUUUUAUAGAUUUGAGUUGUAUACAUCGUAAUUUUGCGUACUAAUAAAGUUAUUAACCAGGAGCUAAGGAAAGGAGAAGGGCCUUCAAGCAAACUUAGGUGUGACUUGACUACGGUGACAGGUGGGAAAUAAUAUAUUAAGAUAAUCUUUAUUCAUAUUGAAUUGCUUGUCUUUUAUCGAUUGAUGAUGAUUUGGUGAAUUUAUAUAAAUAUAUACGACUGGGUGAUAAUGAGUAUAUCUGUGGAUUAUAUCGUGAAGGUGAUGUGGCAAUGCAUUCCUUAUCCCUUGUGUUCUUGCAUUGCCUGGUGAAAGUUAACUCACGGUGGGUUAACCUAAGCUUAGUCACGGUGGACUAGCCUAGGAGGUUGGCCACGUGGGCAUUCAAUUCCUUGCUAACGAGCCAACAAAUAUGGGCCAACGUUAUCUAACUGUUCUUUGCGCGCCACAUUGUGGGUGCUCAUUAUGGCAUUGACAUUCUUUAUUGGCUGGGGGAUUUUUUAUGGUGUAAAUUGGCUUAUCUGUAAUCAUUCUUUAUAAUGAAUUUGAUUACUAUUGUGACAUGUGGAUAUUAGCUCACCCCACAACAGAUCUUUUUGACACGGUGAGUGAUACAGUUAGUUGUCUGGUUUACUGUGGUUUGUCUCCUAGACGUGGUGAUCAUCCUGGUCGAGGUUGGAGUCGUAGAGAACUCGUAGUAGUUCUCCUUGUAGAUUUUUUUGAUUUUACCCACCUGAUUGAGUUGUUUUAUGUCUUGUGUUUACAGAGAGUAUUUUUUUGUAUGUGUAAUUAUCUUAUGGUUAGGGUUGAUUUUAAUUAUCAUUGUAUAUGACCCAGGCUUGGGUACUUUAUUCUUGUUGGGCGCCUUGAGAUAUUGUGGUAUACAUGGUGUCGUUUCGUUCGCAGGCAUGGUGGCCUGUGCGAUCACUCCGGCCUAAAAAUAGCAUUAUUAUGUUGAUUUAGGUGGGGUGUGACCAUAUAGCUUGGGGAAGGUAUUUACCUUUCCACUUUUUAUGGGCUUUGAAUUCUGUCCUUUCCCCCCGCAUUGCCAGCUUGCACUUUCUCCCAAUUCCAUUAACAACCUCCCUUCUUCUUCUCUUCUUUGACACACAUGGGUCAUGAGUUCAUUGAUUGACCAUUUUAUCUUUUAUGGUGUUGUACCAAGAUUUGAAAGGGUCAAUAUUGCUGAGGAAGAGUAUUUAGGAUUAUUGCACUGCAGAAUGUCCUCAUGUGCAUAUAUGCUCACGCACACCUCUCCAGUGGUGAGCCUCACUGGAUGCCAACUUCAUGAUUAGGGUGCUUGCAGUUCCGUGUCUGAAGUGAUGGAAUUGAUCAUCUUGCCUUUAGCAAAUCACGAACAUUCUCAUUCUAAUCAAACCGAACGACGUAUACUAGAGCAAUAUUUAGUUUUUAUGAACAUUACACCUACGACGAUUAGAGUGCUCCCAUUGUGUCAUAAAGUGCAAUAUUUUCUAAAGUACUGGUAUCAGAACUGCAGGUGAUGUCGUCUUUCCUA